UCCCACAAGCCCUAAGGCCAUGAGCAA
rnacentral:piRNA from 1 species